CCUACGGGAGGCAGCAGUAGGGAAUUUUCGUCAAUGGGCGCAAGCCUGAACGAGCAAUGCCGCGUGAACGAGGAAGGUCUUCGGAUCGUAAAGUUCUGUUGAAGGGGAAAAAGAGCGGAGAGAGGAAAUGGUCUCCGAUUGAUAUUACCCUUCGAGGAAGUCACGGCUAACUACGUGCCAGCAGCCGCGGUAAUACGGAGGUGGCGAGCGUUAUCCGGAAUGAUUGGGCGUAAAGGGUGCGUAGGCGGCCUGCUAAGUCUGGAGUGAAAGGUACCGGCUCAACCGGUACAGGCUCUGGAAACUGGCGGGCUAGAGAGCAGGAGAGGGCGGUGGAACUCCAUGUGUAGCGGUAAAAUGCGUAGAUAUAUGGAAGAACACCAGUGGCGAAGGCGGCCGCCUGGCCUGUUACUGACGCUGAGGCACGAAAGCGUGGGGAUCAAAUAGGAUUAGAUACCCCAGUAGUC
rnacentral:rRNA from 1 species